rnacentral:rRNA from 1 species
UGGGGAAUAUUGCACAAUGGGCGCAAGCCUGAUGCAGCCAUGCCGCGUGUGUGAAGAAGGCCUUCGGGUUGUAAAGCACUUUCAGCGAGGAGGAAGGGUAGUGUGUUAAUAGCACAUUGCAUUGACGUUACUCGCAGAAGAAGCACCGGCUAACUCCGUGCCAGCAGCCGCGGUAAUACGGAGGGUGCAAGCGUUAAUCGGAAUUACUGGGCGUAAAGCGCACGCAGGCGGUUUGUUAAGUCAGAUGUGAAAUCCCCGCGCUUAACGUGGGAACUGCAU